rnacentral:lncRNA from 1 species
CAGAGAUCCCCUUGUACUUUGUGGAUUUGAAGGAUGACUUAGAAGACUAGUUAUAGUGACAGGAUGACAUGUUGAAUGGAGAGUCGUAAAUAUCGGGACUGCCCGGAGAACGGAUUCUUAAUGAAAAUGCUUGCUGGGAUGGACGUGCUGGAACAUUCUGCCUGCAGCUUCAGCUCUGCUCAUGUCUGGACCAAUAAAGAAAGUUAUCUGAGGGGACCUCUAGGAAAGAGCAGAGGAAAGCACCCGAGCCAAGCCACAGUGAUGGGAACAUGUUCUGCUUGGGUAGUGACAGAAGGCAUGAGUGGUGGCGAAGACUUUCCCACUGACUAGAAGCCUCUCAGGUAGUCCUGCUGAGACCUCUACUCCUUAGGUA